ACUACGGGAGGAGGGGGGUAUUUGAGACUGAUUUUGUGGUAUUUUUCGACCGAAAAGUGCUAAUCUUUUUUGCUCACGGCAUUCUUUGGAAUGUGUAGAUUGUGGAACAAGUGCUGAAAUAUGCUUAUCUAUUGUAAUUUGGCUACGUUAGCCUUAGACAUGUUGCACUGUUGACGCUGAUGAAGAAUAGGCGGCACCAAAGCUUUAAAGACUAGUAUCUUUUGAAAUUGAAAUUUGCCUCUCAGUCUCUCAAGAAUCAAGAUGCCAAAUAGAUGUGCAGGAUUUGAUUGCUGACAAACCAGGGAUGAGGCUCAAGAGUCAAGAGAUCACCCUGCAUUGGCAAGUGGCUGGAACAACCCCAGUGCCGCACAGUUCUGCGGGAUAUUCCGGCACCUGCUCCACCGCUGCGGCGUCCGGCCCGGCAGCACAGGGAAAGUGGCAGCCCUCGACCCGACCAGCAUCCUGGCAGUCGGUCACACGACCAGCGGACGGGGAGCCAGCCUUACUACCUCGGCCUCCACCACCUCAGACAACGGUGCCACGGCUGACGGCACUCCACAUCAUCACGGAGCACGACUUCCAGCCUGGGCUGUCGUCUGGUGGGCAACAUCGUCACCUACAUCGCAGGGUUCGUGGUGAAGAAGGCGCUCGACUCUGUCAGCUGUAGCACCUGUCAGGAGGCCCUGGUGAGCGACAUCCAGCCGGACGACAUGACACAGCUUUACCACCUCUUCAUCAUCUCUGCCAGAUGAGCUAAGGUGGGGACGGGUUACAUGCCUGGGAUCUGACUGAGACCCGCUCAUACCCUGCCGAAGUGUUGGUGAUUUCAGCGGUCAGCUGUCUCUAGCCGGUGUCAGUGAGUGGCGGCCAGCUGCCGCUGGAGUGGGUAUCUACCGUCGAUAGCUGCUGUGUGGCGGAUAGCGUGGAUUUGGAUGGACACUUCAUAUUAAUGAACAGAUCAAUGUCUGGCCGAUAAAAGACGUAUUUUGUCGAUGAUUGCUUAGUGACUGAGUGGGUCCACUGGCGACCAAUGCAGUGGGCGCUGGGUUAACGCCUCGCCUCUUGUGAUCGUGUCGAUAUGUAGCACUGUUAAUUGCCGAUUCGUUGCCGGCCGUCUCUGCUCCGUGGCUGGCUGAUCCGGCACAAACUGGUGUUCGUGGCUGAAGGCGCGGCUACAGUUACACUAGCUCGCCACGUGCCUGUGCGACUAUCGUCGGUGCUGUCCGCAAGGGCGAUGUCGGUGCCUGUAGGGGGCGCGGAUUGAUUCAAAGUGAGGAAUGGGUCAUCGGAGCUCGGGUCAGGUCAUGUUCGGCUAAAAUAAGCGGAUUUUGCGAUUUGCCGCAUCCGGGUGAAUUUCCUUGCCUUCUAGUGCAUGUUUAUGCAUUUUACAUGCGUUUUUUUAGUGUUGAUGUCUAGAUAACGUGCAUUUGCCUCGAGGUCAAGGCUGCGCUUCAUAUGGGCAGUUUUCGGAGCAUCUUGCUCAUUUUAUUCGUAAUCCUUAAUUAUGUUUGCGGAUUUGUGCUCGCAAAUCAUUUUUUAAAGUAAGAUUGACACGGGAUUCGAGAUCGGCGCCCAUAAAUACACUUCACAUGACCCGCCAUGUGUCAAGGCCAUCCGAGGUCAUCUAAGGUCGCUGACCUUGUAUGACCUUAUGUGACCCGGUUCGCUAGAUUUCGAGAUGAGGUUGAUUGGGAAUGAUGUAACCCAUUUCGCCGACAGAUCACGCGUUUUGGUCGAUUUUAUAGCGAAAGAUCUCAAACUCCAGUGACUUUACUGGUUCGAUUUCCAGUGUUUGACCUGACCUCUGAGUUCACCCGUUGACCUAGUACCCUGAAAUUUGGUAUCACUGGUUUACUCACAUCGCGGACAGCAUACCUAUUUUUUCCGUUCUUGCUCCGUCGAGGGGCGAACGGCUGGAGUUCACUCCGUUCACCCUGGCUUCCCCUACUCGUAAGACGCUGACAAACUACGAACGGGUGGGGGCUAAAAUUGCACUUAUCGUCGAUCAUUGUCCAUUGCAUACUGCAUACAUAGAUAUAAAGUAUGGUAGCCAUAAUGGGAAACGAAUUUUAUCUUAAAUUAGCAUGCCAAUUGCAUCUACCUUCGGUGCCGCAUAUCCUUUAUCAGCGUCUUCAGGGCUAUAUGUCUAGGGCUGAUGUAAUUACAUUACUAUAAAUACACAUGUUUCUGCCCUUGUUUCACAA
rnacentral:lncRNA from 1 species